UACGUAGGGUGCGAGCGUUAAUCGGAAUUACUGGGCGUAAAGGGCGCGUAGGCGGCACAGCAAGUCGGGAGUGAAAGCCCGGGGCUCAACCCCGGAACUGCUUUCGAAACUGCUGAGCUAGAGUACAGAAGGGGCAACCGGAAUUCCCAGUGUAGCGGUGAAAUGCGUAGAUAUUGGGAAGAACACCUGAGGCGAAGGCGGGUUGCUGGGCUGAUACUGACGCUGAGGCGCGAAAGCCAGGGGAGCAAACGGG
rnacentral:rRNA from 1 species